rnacentral:rRNA from 1 species
AGUGGCGAACGGGUGAGUAUCACGUGAGUAACCUGCCCUUGACUCUGGGAUAAGCCCGGGAAACUGGGUCUAAUACCGAUAUGACCUCUCAUCGCAUGGUGGGGGGUGGAAAGUUUUUAACGGUCUUGGAUGGGCUCGCGGCCUAUCAUCUUGACGGUGGGGUAGUGGCCUACCGUGGCUUUGACGGGUAGCCGGCCUGAGAGGGUGACCGGCCACACAGGGACUAAGACACGGCCCAGACUCCUACGGGAGGCAGCAGUGGGGAAUAUUGCACAAUGGGCGUAAGCCUGAUGCCGCGACGCCGCGUGCGGGAUGACGGCCUUCGGGUUGUAAACCGCUUUCAGUACAGAAGAAGCCCUUUUUGGGUGACGGUAUGUGCAGAAGAAGCGCCGGCUAACUACGUGCCAGCAGCCGCGGUAAUACGUAGGGCGCGAGCGUUAACCGGAAUUAUUGGGCGUAAAGAGCUUGUAGGCGGUUUGCCGCGUCUGCUGUGAAAGCCCGGGGCUUAACUCCGGGUGUGCAGUGGGGUACGGGCGGCUAGAGUGUGUCAGUAGGGGACUGGAUUCCUGGUGUAGCGGUGAAAUGCGCAGAUAUCAUGAGGAACACCGAUGGCGAAGGCAGGAAUCUGGGCUAUUACUGACGCUGAGAAGCGAAAGCAUGGGUAGCGAACAGGAUUAGAUACCCUGGUAGUCCAUGCCGUAAACGUUGGGCACUAGGUGUGGGGGACAUUCCACGUUUUCCGCGCCGUAGCUAACGCAUUAAGUGCCCCGCCAGGGGAGUACGGCCGCAAGGCUAAAUCUCAAAGGAAUUGAAGGGGGCCCGCACAUGCGGCGGAGCAUGCGGAUUAAUUCGAUGCAACGCGAAAAACCUUACCUACCCUUGACAUGCCACUAACGAAGCAUAGAUGCAUUAGGUGCUCGAAAGAGAAAGUGGACACAGGUGCUGCAUGGCUGUCGUCAGCUCGUGUCGUGAGAUGUUGGGUUAAGUCCCGCAACGAGCGCAACCCUUGUCUCUAGUUGCUACGAAAGGGCACUCUAGAGAUACUGCCGGUGACAAACAGGAGGAAGCUGGGGAUGACGUCAAGUCCUCAUGGCCCUUAUGGGUAGGGCUUCACACGUCAUACAAUGGUGCAUACAGAGGGUUGCCAAGCCGCAAGGUGGAGCUAAUCCCAGAAAAUGCAUCGUAGUCCGGAUCGUAGUCUGCAACUCGACUACGUGAAGCUGGAAUCGCUA